AGGUCAACUUUGACAAUUACCGGACAAUACUGUCAUUUGUGAACAUCUGCGACGUCCACUGGAAACUUCUGUACAUAAAUGCUGUCAACCACACAAUGUACUUGAUGGAUCCUUCACAAAAUAACAAAGAGAAAGAUGAUUCCAUUCAUGCUGCCAAAAAAAUCAGUGAUUACCUACAGAUGAGGCAAACAUGCCAUGGAAAAAUGGAGUGGCUGGACAUCAAAUGGAAAGGAGGAGUUCUGAAACAUCCAGUCCAGCAGGAUGCCAGUAGCUGUGGGGUCAUUGUCACCUUGUGUUUGAUGAGACCAAUCUCUGUUCCAUGUGCGCACAGAAAGAGACAAUUGGAAGCAGGCAACAUGUGACAAAGUGGAUCCAGUGUGACCGCUGCAAGAGGUGGUACCACGAGAAGUGCCUGGGCAUGACUAAGAAGAAGCUGAGAUGGGCCAGAGUCAAUGAUUGGGACUGCGUUUCCUGCUGUUAAAUCUGUCGAGAUAACAGAAUUAAUACAUUUAAGUUAUUUAUGUUUUUAUUUACAUUAUGCUGCUGUCAAUUUUGUUU